rnacentral:lncRNA from 1 species
AAGUGUACAGGCAGAGAUGAAUGUGUGUGGCUUUAGCAGAUCCACACUCAUCCAGGGAUAACUGGACCAUGGGGGCAGGGUGGGAGUGGAGAGAAGUCAUCAUAGGAUGGUAAUCAGGUGCUUGCAGGGAGAAGAGAAGGAAAAGCAGAUGAGUGAACAAGGGCAGAUGGUGCUGGAGAAUUCCAUCAAGUGGGCAUCAAGAAGGGACUGGAGGUUAAAACCUUUGGGAUAAAGAAGAAGAAAAAAAGACAAGCUGGUAAAAAGUAAGGUCUGGGGGGUGGAGGCAAGAAGGGGAGUUGCUAAAAACUCUAGAAUAAGCAGUAAGACAUCUUUCAAUAAAACUGCCCCUUCCCAGAUGGCACCUGGGCACUGUUUGCUGGGCACAAACAUGGCACUGUUUCCUAGGAGAUGAUUCCUCCAGUUCUUUAAGGUAGUAAUGAAUGACAACAAGAAGUUACUUCUCUAUGCUACACACGGUGUAGAAUCCAGAGCCUGACUGGCUGUGACGCGCCCAUGGUGACACCAAGGGGACUCUGCAUGGGCACAUCCCGGCCCUCCUCCCUGCAUGUUCUCCAAGCCAGGUCUUUGAAACCUCCAGUGAUGGGAAUGACAGAAUCUGGGAUGAUUUUCUUCUGUUUCUUAUCUAAAAAAACAACAAAAAGCUCAGCAUACACGGACUCACACAAACCUUUUGCUAGAGGCAGCUCUGUAGACUUAAGACGCUGUCAUUUUUCAGAAGAACCCAGCUUGCUUUGGAACUACAGUCAGCCCUGCAACCCACCCUCACCUUGGACCCUGCUGCUGCUGUCUGUAAAGGGUCUGGAUGAAGGAAGGGAGCCUCCAGCUUGUCGGCUGUACUUGCCCAGAAUUUAGCCUUUGCAACAUGGAGCUGCGGGGAUGGGAAAUGUUGUCCACUAGCCUUCCACAAUGCUGCGAUGAAUACACCUGUGCAUUCUUUUUUAGAACAAGUGUAAGAAUUCCUAUGUGGCUGGACGGUACUGCUGCCAUCUCGGCUCACUGCAACCUCC